rnacentral:rRNA from 1 species
AUGCUGUCCAUGUUUAGGAGGAAGCUCGGCGGAAUGCCCGUCAAACUAGUUGGCGUUGAUGUCGAGUACACACACUACGAGAAGCCACAGCGUGUAGCGGUACUACAGCUAUGCAUAGAAAAAGAAUGCCUUGUCUACCACAUAUCUGCAGCUAAAGACAAGCCAAUGGAACUAGACAAAUUCCUGAUGAAUGAUGAGUACACCUUCGUCCGAUUCGCUAUUGAAGGAGACAAAAGCAAGCUGAAGGUAUCUGGUUUGGAGAUCAACUCCAACAACUACAUUGAUAUUCAGGUGGAAUGGAGAGACCCAUACAAUAAAAAGAAGUUUGACUCUUUGGCUGAUGUUGCUGGUAGGAUGAUAGACAUUCACUACAAUGACAUGAAGAAAAAAUUUAACCGCAAGGAGGACCAUACUCUCUGGGGAUUUUGCCCACUGCCAAACAAGCUUAUCAAGUAUGCAGCAAUAGAUGCAUUCGCAACAUAUGAGUCA